GAUGAACGCUAGCGGCAGGCCUAACACAUGCAAGUCGAGGGGUAGCAGGAUUAAGCUUGCUUAAUUGCUGACGACCGGCGCACGGGUGCGUAACGCGUAUGCAACCUACCUUAUACUGGGGUAUAGCCCGGAGAAAUUCGGAUUAGUCCCCAUAGUACUAAUGAAUCGCAUGGUUUAUUAGUUAAAGCAUUGCGGUAUAAGAUGGGCAUGCGUCCUAUUAGCUAGAUGGUGAGGUAACGGAUCACCAUGGCUACGAUAGGUAGGGGGCCUGAGAGGGGAGUCCCCCACACUGGUACUGAGACACGGACCAGAAUCCUACGGGAGGCAGCAGUGAGGAAUAUUGGUCAAUGGGCGCAAGCCUGAACCAGCCAUGCCGCGUGCAGGAAGAAUGCCCCAUGGGUUGUAAACUGCUUUUAUUUGGGAAUAAACCUCUUUACGUGUAGAGAGCUGAAGGUACCAAAUGAAUAAGCACCGGCUAACUCCGUGCCAGCCGCCGCAGUAA
rnacentral:rRNA from 1 species